rfam:Schistosoma mattheei strain Denwood, Zambia genome assembly, scaffold: SMTD_scaffold0000782
UUGGGCGACCAUACCGCGUUGAAAGCACCGGUUCUCGUCCGAUCACCGCAGUUAAGCAAUGUUGGGCCCGGUCAGUAUUUGCAUGGGCUAAAGAGAUGAUCAUGAUCAUUGUGGUUCCUGGA